UAUCCCCCGCUUAAACCUCCACUCCCGUUAACUCAUCGACCAAUUAGGGCAUUUCUACCAAUUUCCUCCCCUCCGGCAACCACCUCCUCCUCCGCUCUCUUCCACCAGUACCACCGCCGUAGCUUGCCACCAGUUCUAUUAGACCGUAGGAUGAAGAUUGUGGUUGCGGAUAGUCAAACAGUCAGACGUAACGGGCAGCACCCGUCGCCGAGGACCAUUUUCCGGGUCGCAUCCGCCUCCGCCGGAAUCAAGUCGGGUGGAACUUCUCUUGGAAACUGGAUGAAACCAUCACCUGGUUCUAUAAUUAGAGAAGGUAAGAAGGGGUGGUAAUUUUAAUUAUUUUAUUUUAUUUUUAUUUUUGUUAAAGUCCUUUGAAUUUAGAUGCCGACUCAACGAUUAAAUUGUUCGAGACUCGAGAGAACAACAAAUUAGUGAUCAUAUUCAGUUACUUAGUUCACCAUUUGUGGAUUUUGAGCUGAUGCACCUAGUUCAAGUGAAAAUCAGGGGUUGUUUGGGUAGCACGAUAAUUGUAGGGUUAAAUCAAAUCCGAAAUUAAAUUCAUCGUUAAAAUCUAAUGAAAUCGGAAUUAGUACUUAGUGAAAAUUUAAUUCCAAUUCCAUUCCAAAAAGAAAUUCAGAUAUCGGAAUUAUAGGAAUUGGAAUGAAAUGUUUUAUAAGUGUUCAGAGGUGAAUGCUCUUUAUUCUGGCGAUAAUUAGAUGAGUUCCAUUUAAUUUCUGCAAACAGGUUUUCAGCCUUCACAAGUGAAAGUUCGUGUUAGGGGCAAUUAACGAGUCCUGUUAAUUGGUGAUUGCUACUGGAUUAGUAGUCAUGCGGCCGACCUGAAGCUGAUUCUAACAUCAUAGGAGCUACUUAUAAGGUACUUGGUUCUAUUCGAUUUUGUUUGCAUUAUUACUUGGAAGAGUUUUAAGCAUAGAAAUCUGGUGAACACGAUUCUCACUUAGCAUGAUAC
rnacentral:lncRNA from 1 species